rfam:Anoxybacillus flavithermus strain 25 c213, whole genome shotgun sequence.
GCGGGUGUGGCGGAAUUGGCAGACGCACCAGACUUAGGAUCUGGCGCCUUUGGCGUGGGGGUUCAAGUCCCUCCACCCGCA